AACGAACGCUGGCGACAUGCCUAACACAUGCAAGUCGAACGAGACCUUCGGGUCUAGUGGCGCACGGGUGCGUAACGCGUGGGAACCUGCCCUUAGGUUCGGAAUAACUCCCCGAAAGGGGUGCUAAUACCGGAUAAUGUCUUCGGACCAAAGAUUUAUCGCCUUUGGAUGGGCCCGCGUUGGAUUAGCUAGUUGGUAGGGUAAAAGCCUACCAAGGCGACGAUCCAUAGCUGGUCUGAGAGGAUGAUCAGCCACACUGGGACUGAGACACGGCCCAGACUCCUACGGGAGGCAGCAGUGGGGAAUAUUGGACAAUGGGCGAAAGCCUGAUCCAGUAAUGCCGCGUGAGUGAUGAAGGCCUUAGGGUUGUAAAGCUCUUUUACCCGGGAUGAUAAUGACAGUACCGGGAGAAUAAGCUCCGGCUAACUCCGUG
rnacentral:rRNA from 1 species